AUUGAACGCUGGCGGCAGGCCUAACACAUGCAAGUCGAACGGCAGCACAGAAGAGCUUGCUCUUUGGGUGGCGAGUGGCGGACGGGUGAGUAAUGUCUGGGAAACUGCCCGAUGGAGGGGGAUAACUACUGGAAACGGUAGCUAAUACCGCAUAACGUCGCAAGACCAAAGUGGGGGACCUUCGGGCCUCACACCAUCGGAUGUGCCCAGAUGGGAUUAGCUAGUAGGUGGGGUAAUGGCUCACCUAGGCGACGAUCCCUACCUGGUCUGAGAGGAUGACCAGCCACACUGGAACUGAGACAUGGUCCAGACUCCUCCGGGAGGCAGCAGUGGGGAAUAUUGCACAAUGGGAGCAAGCAUGAUGCAGCCAUGCCGCGUGUAUGAAGGAGGCCUUCGGGUUGUAGAGUACUUUCAGCGGGGCGGAAGGCGGUGAGGUUAAUAACCUCGCCGAUUGACGUUACCCGCAGAAGAAGCACCGGCUAACUCCGUGCCAGCCGCCGCGGUAA
rnacentral:rRNA from 1 species